GGAUUAGAUACCCUGGUAGUCCUAGCUGUAAACGAUGGAUACUAGACGUAGGAACUGGAUUGACGGUUUCUGUGUCGCAGCUAACGCGUUAAGUAUCCCGCCUGGGGAGUACGGUCGCAAGACUAAAACUCAAAUGAAUUGACGGGGGCCCGCACAAGCGGUGGAGCAUGUGGUUUAAUUCGAUGCAACGCGAAGAACCUUACCAACCCUUGACAUCCAGUGGAAGUUUUAGAGAUAAAACUGUGCCUUUGGGAACACUGUGACAGGUGUUGCAUGGCUGUCGUCAGCUCGUGCCG
rnacentral:rRNA from 1 species